CUCUCCAUUUCACAUGCUCUCUC
rnacentral:miRNA from 1 species